CGCUAUCACUCUCUCAUUCUCCUCCACUGGUACCACUCCUCACCACCUCCACCACCAUUUUUCUGGCAAGAUCACCGGAAAACUCCUUAGGAAAAAGGGAAUGAUGAUAAUGCCAAUUAUUCACUCCCACCACCAAGUGAAACCUAGCAGAGGGUGUGGUUUCCUUCAAAGAGAAGUGCUCCUUUGUCGUCUGUUGGACAAGUUACGCAUUAUGUGAAAAUAUGUUGAAGAAGUUAAUGGUGGUCAUUGCAAUGGAAUGAUUUGGGAGAGUUGCAGACUAUGGCCUGGACUUCAGGAGGUUCACUCUUUAUUUCUCAAGGGAGUAAUUGAAUUCAUGUUUGAGUAAAGCAAAUGACACAGAAAUUUUUACUGCAAUGCGUGGAGAAUUUGGCAACCAAAAAUCAACAAUGGACUGAAAUUACAGAGCAUCCACUAUGGUCCAUGGAGCAUCUCACUGUGGGCACAAGAAUACUUGAUUGAGUACACUAGAUAAAGAAACAUUGCAAAUUAAUUUAUUCUUUUUUUUUUUUGGUUUAGUUUCAGUGAAAGCCAAUAAAAUACAGAGUAAUUGGGUGUGAUGUAGAUGUAGGGAAAUCAUAUUUCCGGUAAAGUUGUGUUAUUUUAUAUUUAUUUUGUUACAAUUUUAAUUAUUCCACACUACUAGAAUUUUGUCUGUUUGAUUUGUU